rnacentral:rRNA from 1 species
AGUGCAAUGGCAUAAGCCAGCUUGACUGCGAGCGUGACGGCGCGAGCAGGUGCGAAAGCAGGUCAUAGUGAUCCGGUGGUUCUGAAUGGAAGGGCCAUCGCUCAACGGAUAAAAGGUACUCCGGGGAUAACAGGCUGAUACCGCCCAAGAGUUCAUAUCGACGGCGGUGUUUGGCACCUCGAUGUCGGCUCAUCACAUCCUGGGGCUGAAGUAGGUCCCAAGGGUAUGGCUGUUCGCCAUUUAAAGUGGUACGCGAGCUGGGUUUAGAACGUCGUGAGACAGUUCGGUCCCUAUCUGCCGUGGGCGCUGGAGAACUGAGGGGGGCUGCUCCUAGUACGAGAGGACCGGAGUGGACGCAUCACUGGUGUUCGGGUUGUCAUGCCAAUGGCACUGCCCGGUAGCUAAAUGCGGAAGAGAUAAGUGCUGAAAGCAUCUAAGCACGAAACUUGCCCCGAGAUGAGUUCUCCCUGAGACUUUAGGUCUCCUGAAGGAACGUUGAAGACGACGACGUUGAUAGGCCGGGUGUGUAAGCG